UACGUAGGUGGCGAGCGUUGUCCGGAUUUACUGGGCGUAAAGAGCGCGCAGGCGGUCGUGCAAGUCGCGUGUGAAAGCCCCCGGCUCAACUGGGGAGGGUCACGCGAUACUGCUCGACUCGAAGGCAGGAGAGGGAAGUGGAAUUCCCGGUGUAGUGGUGAAAUGCGUAGAUAUCGGGAGGAACACCAGUGGCGAAGGCGACUUCCUGGCCUGUUCUUGACGCUGAGGCGCGAAAGCUAGGGUAGCAAACGGGAUUAGAAACCCCCGUAGUCC
rnacentral:rRNA from 1 species